rnacentral:misc_RNA from 1 species
CGGUCCGAAGACGUCGCACGAGCCCGGGGUAGGUAACUUCCGAUCGCACCACUCUGGCUCUCCCCAUGGCUGGAGGGGUGUCCACGUCAGUCACUCGGGAGUGGUGCUCACAUCCCCCGCCCUGGACCGGUGGAGCUCCAGCUCCAUGCGGAACGCGCUGGGGAUCGGCACGCCCGCGUUCGCAGCGGCAUCCGCAUAGGCGCCCAUCACUUCGGCCAACCGGGCGUGCAACUGCUGUCGGUCAUAGGGGCUGGGUGAUGAUCUCCGGGCGGCGCGACCCUCCGCGCGCACCCGCAUGAUGUCGUCCAUCAACGCAGCCAGUAACGCAUCGUCACUGCCAUGAGCCUUCAGCAUGCCUGCAUCAUCUCCGGGGUCGGUGAAUGCACUUGCGCGCGCCUGGCCGAGCGAGGACCGUGGGGGACACGCCUCCCUAGACCUCGGCGGUGGGCAUGUUCGACGCGUCGCAGCGCGGUGAUCGUCACGCAGGUAGCUCUCCCUGAUGGGCGCCUGUCCUCGGUGCGGCGCGAAAGUGUGGCCAAUAGUCAUCCGGCAACGGAUCAGUCCGGCGCUCC